rnacentral:rRNA from 1 species
UCGAGCGGACAGAAGGGAGCUUGCUCCCGGAUGUUAGCGGCGGACGGGUGAGUAACACGUGGGUAACCUGCCUGUAAGACUGGGAUAACUCCGGGAAACCGGAGCUAAUACCGGAUAGUUCCUUGAACCGCAUGGUUCAAGGAUGAAAGACGGUUUCGGCUGUCACUUACAGAUGGACCCGCGGCGCAUUAGCUAGUUGGUGAGGUAACGGCUCACCAAGGCGACGAUGCGUAGCCGACCUGAGAGGGUGAUCGGCCACACUGGGACUGAGACACGGCCCAGACUCCUACGGGAGGCAGCAGUAGGGAAUCUUCCGCAAUGGACGAAAGUCUGACGGAGCAACGCCGCGUGAGUGAUGAAGGUUUUCGGAUCGUAAAGCUCUGUUGUUAGGGAAGAACAAGUGCAAGAGUAACUGCUUGCACCUUGACGGUACCUAACCAGAAAGCCACGGCUAACUACGUGCCAGCAGCCGCGGUAAUACGUAGGUGGCAAGCGUUGUCCGGAAUUAUUGGGCGUAAAGGGCUCGCAGGCGGUUUCUUAAGUCUGAUGUGAAAGCCCCCGGCUCAACCGGGGAGGGUCAUUGGAAACUGGGAAACUUGAGUGCAGAAGAGGAGAGUGGAAUUCCACGUGUAGCGGUGAAAUGCGUAGAGAUGUGGAGGAACACCAGUGGCGAAGGCGACUCUCUGGUCUGUAACUGACGCUGAGGAGCGAAAGCGUGGGGAGCGAACAGGAUUAGAUACCCUGGUAGUCCACGCCGUAAACGAUGAGUGCUAAGUGUUAGGGGGUUUCCGCCCCUUAGUGCUGCAGCUAACGCAUUAAGCACUCCGCCUGGGGAGUACGGUCGCAAGACUGAAACUCAAAGGAAUUGACGGGGGCCCGCACAAGCGGUGGA